GAUGAACGCUAGCUACAGGCUUAACACAUGCAAGUCGAGGGGUAACGAGAGGAAAGCUUGCUUUCCCUGUCGACGACCGGCGCACGGGUGAGUAACGCGUAUCCAACCUGCCGCCAACUAGGGAAUAACCUUGCGAAAGUAAGACUAAUACCCUAUAAUUUCCUCCGAUGUCAUCUGACGAGGAAUAAAGAUUUAUCGGUUGUGGAUGGUGAUGCGUCUGAUUAGCUUGUUGGCGGGGUAACGGCCCACCAAGGCAACGAUCAGUAGGGGUUCUGAGAGGAAGGUCCCCCACAUUGGAACUGAGACACGGUACAAACUCCUACGGGAGGCAGCAGUGAGGAAUAUUGGUCAAUGGGCGGAAGCCUGAACCAGCCAAGUAGCGUGCAGGAUGACGGCCCUAUGGGUUGUAAACUGCUUUUAUACAGGAAUAAAGUUAGCCACGUGUGGUUAUUUGUAGGUACUGUAUGAAUAAGGACCGGCUAAUUCCGUGCCAGCCGCCGCGGUAA
rnacentral:rRNA from 1 species